AUCUUUUUCUUCAGACUUGGGAGCUGGUGCCACCACAGCCCCAUCUGAAGAAGGGUGCUCCUUACCACUGCCGUCAGGUAAUUCACACCCACCAUCGGAAGGCUUCCAACCAGGAUUCAUUUGGCCAACUGGGUUGUCUUCACCAGCAGAGCCCACUUCACUCCCCUCUUCCUCUAUCGUUUCAGGAAAGCUAGUGAGUUGGACAAUAUGGUUUACCAAACUAACAGACUGGGCUGGGGAGCAGACCCCAUGUCAUCUCCCUAAAGCACCUAGGAGGUGGCCGGCCCAGUAUACCCUUGGGAAAUGUCAGAGUCUUCUUUUGAGGCUGACACCUCAAAAGUUUUGACUUCACUUCUCCCUGUGAACAUGGAAAUCUACUAAGGUGGCUUCUCCAUUUAUGUCCAGAGUUAGGAGAAUGUAAUCUAGCAUGUGAUGAUGAUGUUCUUUAUUUUAUUAUUAUUAUUAUUUUUUGAGAU
rnacentral:lncRNA from 1 species